rnacentral:rRNA from 1 species
UACAGAGGUCUCAAGCGUUGUUCGGAUUCAUUGGGCGUAAAGGGUGCGUAGGUGGCGUGGUAAGUCGGGUGUGAAAUUUCGGAGCUUAACUCCGAAACUGCAUUCGAUACUGACGUGCUUGAGGACUGGAGAGGAGACUGGAAUUUACGGUGUAGCAGUGAAAUGCGUAGAGAUCGUAAGGAAGACCAGUGGCGAAGGCGGGUCUCUGGACAGUUCCUGACACUGAGGCACGAAGGCCAGGGGAGCAAACGGG